CAUGUGCGCUUUGAGCAGCGUGAGGGUCGAAGAUUGGCAGCAACAAGUCGAAGCGGACUGGACCGGAGUCACGUGGAGGAUUCAUCUCAGCACGUGUUCUGCUGGUGUGAUUAGUUAUUAAUAAUGAGAUCUGGGGAAUAUCUUGUUCUUGUGUCUGUUAUGGUGUGAGACUUACAUUUUGUAGUUCUUUUCUGUGAAAUCCAAUAAAUGUGUUUUUUCAACAGUCA